UAGGAAACGGAAAGAAGAAAAGGAAAGGAGGAAAGAGAGAGAAGAGGAAAGAAGAGGGUAAGUAAGCAGAGAGAAAAUUCAGUGAGUCACACAUAUUGUAAACACUAUUGUAGUCAUAUUAUUAUAUAGUGAAAAGUUACUGUUGCUGCUCUCCGAGGACGUAGGCGUAGCCGAACCUCGUUAAAUACUGUGUCUCAUCUACUUUACGUGCAGCUCAAAAUUCGCACAUAUCCCAGGUUAUUUUAUAACACGUUAUCAGCACGAUAGUCUCUCCUUUUAUUUCUGAAAUUUUUCCAACUCAACACUAUAUAAUAUACUAUAUUUAUCUGCUUCUCUAUUACUAACCAUUAACAAAAAUGGACCCUUGGUAAUACUAAACAUAUUAUCAGUGGGAGACCGUUACUAAUACUAACUUUUUUUUUUCUUAUUCGGUGGUGGUUUUAACCCCACAUUUAAUUUUAUUUAUGGUAUGGUGUAGGCUUAUUACCCAUACGGCAAUAUUUAUUUAAAGGGUGGUGCGGGUUUAUCGUCCACGCCUUUACUUUUAUUUAAAUGUAUGGAGCAGAAUUAGUGCCCAUACAAGCACAUUUACUUUACCGCACAUUUAAGGUAUGGUGCGGGUUUAUCGUCCAUACCAGCAAAUUCAUAACACUUUACUUUUAUCAUCAAUUAAUAUACCUAAAUGAUGAGGACCUGAAAUUCCUAUUAAUAAGUGGCUUAAUAUUCCAGAUCUCGAGCCUAAAGUUUUGGAUGACAAAUUUGGCAAAACUAGAGUUUGCUGCCUUGGACCUUUCCGAGGACAACUAUUUAUCAUGGGUCCUGGAUGCCAAAAUUCAUCUACGAGCCAAUGGCCUCGGACAAACAAUUGUAGAUGAGAAUGAUGCUUCGCCUGAAGAGAAUGCGAAGGCCAUGAUCUUUCUUCGCCGCCACAUCCAUGAAGCGCUGAAGAGCGAAUAUGUGGUGGUUGAUGAACCGUUGGUUCUGUGGAAAGCUCUAGGUGAAAGAUACGAUCACCAGAAGACGGUGACUCUCCCAAGAGCUAGAUACGAAUGGACCCACUUGAGAUUUCAAGAUUUCAAGUCAGUUUCCGAGUAUAACUCUGCUAUGCACAGAAUUACCUCAUUAAUGAGGCUAUGUGGGGAAAAUAUAUCUGAUGAGGAUAUGCUCGAAAAAACUCUGAGCACUUUUCAUGCUUCAAAUGUCCUCCUUCAGCAGCAAUACAGACAUAGCGGUUUCAAGAAGUACUCGGAACUUGUAUCUUGCCUCUUGUUAGCUGAGCAGAAUAAUGUGAGCUCUUAUUAAAGAAUCACCAAUCUCACCCAACGGGCUCAGCACCACUUCCUGAAAUAAAUGCUGCAUCUCAGGAAGUGAAUGCCACUUCAUCUCGUGGCAGUAUCUACAAACGUGAGCGAGGGGGCAAGCGUGGCCACUGGCAAGGAAGUAGAAAAAAUCGUGGUGCUCAUUCACAGGGUUUAGGUCCAAGGAGCGGUCCAUCCACGAAUGGCAAAAAUGCAUCCCGUAAUAAGGGAAAGGCACAGAUGAGCCAUGUGCCUAGAAAUGUUGAAAGCCCUUGUCACAGAUGUGGUGCAAAGGGACAUUGGGUGCGCGCAUGUCGUACGCCCAGGCAUUUGGCGGAUCUCUAUCAAGCUUCACUUAAGAACAGGAAAGUGGAGAUAAAUUACAUUGACCAUGCUCCGCCAGCCACAGAUGGCUCAUCAGAAAUAUCACGUCAGCUAAACAAGACGCAUCUAGAUGUUUCUGAUUUUGUUACUGAAAGAGGGAAUGAAGGUUAUGUGUCCGAAUUAGAUUAAAUUCCUUAAUAUACUAUUUGUAUUAGCUGAAGUGUUGUUUAAAUUUCAAUCCAAUAAAAGUGGUAAUGUUUUCUUCUUUAUUGAUCCCAGCUUAUUUUACUUAUUUGGUGGCAUGGAUGCAAAUUAUGGAUGCCCUCAAAACAAAGGCUAUGGCAGAGAUAUUUGUCUUGCAGACAGCGCAACUACUCAUACGAUCCUUCAAGAUCGGAAGUAUUUCUCAAAAUUAAUGCUUACAAAAGCAAAGGUAACAACCAUAUCAGGUCCUGCAGAUCUGAUUGAAGGUUCAGGAAUAGCCCAAAUUAUGUUACCAAAUGGAACAAUACUAUCUAUUCCAGAUGCUUUGUAUUCAUCUAACUCCAGAAGGAAUCUGUUGAGUUUCAAAGAUAUACGUUUGAAUGGCUACCAUGUUGAAACAAAGAAAGAGGAAAACAUGGAAUAUCUUUGUAUUACCUCCAGUGAUACUCAAAAGCGUAUACUGGAAAAGCUUUGUGAACUCUCAUCAGGGUUGUAUUACACAACCAUACGGACAAUUGAGGCACAUAGUGUCAUGGACCAAGAGUCCACUAACUCAAAUGCUUUUAAGCUUUGGCAUGACAGGUUGGGUCAUCCUGGAUCCACCAUGAUGCGCAGGAUCAUCACCAACUUUAAAGGACAUCCCUUGUUGACUAAACACAUUAUGUUAUCAAGCGACAUCUUUUGCCAAGCUUGUUCACAAGGGAAGUUGGUGAUCAGACCAUCACAACCAAAGGUUGAUGUUGAGUCUCCAUCAUUUUUGCAGAGAAUUCAAGGGGACAUUUGUAGACCCAUUCAUCCCCCAUGUGGACCAUUUCGGUACUUUAUGGUCUUGGUAGACGCAUCUACCCGAUGGUCACAUGUUUGUCUUUUAUCUACUCGGAAUAUGGCAUUUGCUAGGCUUUUGGCUCAGAUAAUUAAAUUACGAGCCCAAUUCCCAGAUUAUCCCAUUAAGUCAAUCAGACUCGAUAAUGCUGGUGAAUUUACAUCUCAGACUUUUGAUGACUACUGCAUGUCACUAGGCAUUGAUAUUGAACAUCCUGUUCCCUAUGUGCAUACUCAAAAUGGCUUGGCAGAAGCUUUAAUUAAACACCUUCAAUUGAUAGCACGCACUUUGCUAAUGAAAACAAAGUUGCCAGUUUCUGCUUGGGGAUAUGCCAUUUUACAUGCAGCAUCGCUUGUGCGAUUGAGGCCCGUCACCAACAAUCAAUGUUCUCCAAUACAACUCGUAUUGGGAAAUCAACCAAACAUUUCACAUUUAAGAAUUUUUGGGUGUGCGGUAUAUGUGCCCAUUGCACCACCGCAACGUACUAAGAUGGGCCCUCAACGCAGAUUGGGAAUUUAUGUUGGUUUUGAUUCACCAUCUAUCAUCAGAUACUUGGCACCCCUGACGGGUGAUAUUUUUACCGCACGAUUUGCGGAUUGUGAUUUUGAUGAGACAAUCUUCCCAUCAUUAGGGGGAGAAAAAUCUGUGUCUAAAGAACAAGGCAAACUCAUUCCUGAAAAACGACAUGAAUUAUCCUGGAAUGUAUCCACAUUGUCUCAUCUCGAUCCUCAUACUGCUCAAUGCGAAAACGAAGUAAGAAGGAUCGUUCACCUCCAAAGUAUUGCCAAUCAGAUGCCAGAUGCAUUUAAUGAUGCAGCAAAGAUGACGAAAUCUCAUAUCCCAGCUGCAAAUGCACCCGCACGGAUUGAUGUCCAUAAUGGACAAAGCAAUGUCCCAGCAAAUGGUUCAUCUGCUGCACGCCUAAAACGUGGCAGACCACUAGGCUCAAAGGAUUCAAUUCCUCGAAAGAGGAAGUUGAUGGACAAAAUGAAUCCAAAUGAAAUAAAUAGAGAGCCCACAAUUCAUAAUUCAAAUGCCCCCAAAGAGGGACAGGUACUUCUUGACAAGGAAAACGUCAUUGGUGAGACAAGUGCCCCUGGAAUGGCAACCGUACCUGAAAGUCAAGAAAUCUCCAUAAAUUAUACGUCCACUGAUGAAUUGUGGAGUAGAAAUGAGAUGAUCAUCGAUGAUAUAUUUGCAUUCUCAGUGGCUGCUGAGAUUAUAAAAGAUGAUGAUAUUGAGCCGUGCUCUAUUAAUGAAUGUACACAGAGGCAAGAUUGGCCCAAGUGGAAAGAUGCAAUCCAGGCAGAAUUAAAUUCUUUGGAAAAAAGGAGUGUUUUUGGACAUAUUAGUCCAACUCCACCCAAUGUGAACCCUGUAGGUUACAAGUGGGUAUUUACAAGAAAGCGCAAUGAGAAAAAUGAGAUCUCAAGGUAUAAAGCGCGACUCGUUGCGCAAGGUUUUUCACAAAGGCCUGGAAUUGAUUAUGUGGAAACGUACUCUCCAGUAAUGGACAAAUUACAUUCCGUUACCUAAUAAGUUUGGCGGUUUCAGAAAAACUUGAAAUGAGACUCAUGUAUGUCAUUACCGCAUAUUUGUAUGGAGAAUUGGAUACAGAUAUAUACAUGAAAGUUCCAGAAGGAUUCAGGUUGCCUGAAGCAGCUAGAAACAAACCACGGGACAUGUUCUCAGUUAAAUUGAGAAAAUCAUUAUAUGGGCUAAAACAAUCUGGACGAAUGUGGUACAAUCGUCUCAGUAAGUAUUUACUGAAGGAAGGAUACACAAAUGAUCCUAUUUGCCCAUGUGUGUUUAUUAAGAAAUCAGAGUCUGGAUUUGCGAUAGUGGCAGUAUAUGUCGACGACAUGAAUCUAAUUGGAACUUCUAAAGAGCUUCAAAAGACUGUUGAUUAUCUCAAACGUGAGUUUGAGAUGAAGGACCUUGGAAAGACAAAAUAUUAUCUUGGCUUGCAGAUUGAGCACAGUGCUAAUGGAAUUUUGGUGCAUCAAUCAACUUAUACUGAGAAAGUAUUGGAACGGUUUGGCAUGGAUAAAGCCCAUCCACUUAGCACUCCAAUGGUCGUUCGAUCGCUUGACACUAAGAAAGACCCAUAUCGUCCAAAAGAGAAUGAUGAAAUGGUCCUUGGUCCAAAAGUACCAUAUCUUAGUGCAAUAGGUGCCUUAUUGUACCUAGCACAAUGUACCAGACCAGACAUAUCAUUCUCAGUAAAUCUGUUAGCAAGGUACAGUUCUGCUCCAACAAGGCGACACUGGACCGGCAUCAAACAUGUUCUACGAUACCUUCGUGGGACAACAGACAUGGGGUUAUUCUAUUCUAGUGAAUCGACCAAUGCCCAGAGUAUUAUUGGUUAUGCUGAUGCAAGAUAUCUCUCUGAUCCACAUCAAGGACGAUCACAGCCUGGGUAUGUAUUUACAUGUGGAGGAACUGCAAUCUCAUGACGCUCAACAAAACAAACAUUAGUGGCCACAUCUUCUAAUCACUCAGAAAUACUUGCCCUCCAUGAAGCCAGUCGUGAAUGCGUUUGGUUAAGGUCGGUAAUCCAUCACAUCCGAAGCACAUGUGCCCUACCCUCAACAAUAGACACUCCAACAAUUCUGAAUGAGGACAAUGCAGCUUGUAUUGCUCAGAUCACAGAAGGAUAUAUCAAGGGUGACAGGACCAAGCACAUAUCACUAAAGUUUUUCUAUACACAUGAGCUCUAGAAGAGUCAAGAAAUCAAAGUCAGACAAAUCCGUUCAAGUGAUAACCUGGCAGAUCUCUUCACUAAAUCAUUGCCGAAAUGUACAUUCCAAAAGUUAGUGCAUGGCAUCGGAUUACGACAACUCUGCAAGCAAUCAAGUUGGAGCAUGCAAAAUCAGGGGGAGCAUUCAAAAGUCCUCUAACAUAGGACAUAUGCACGUUGUACUCUUUUUCCUUCGCUUAGGUUUUUUCCCACUGGGUUUUUCCAAGCAAGGUUUUAAUGAGGCAUCCAAUCUAGGGACAUGUGGUCUCCAAGGGGGAGUGUUGUAAAGAAGAAACAUGUGGAGCCCACAUUUAUGGGGCCCACAAAGAAAUUAAGCAAAUAUUUGGAGGUUUAUCAGCUGCACACUCACGGAUGUGUAUUGUAGAAUCACGGGUGCCAUUUAAUAUGUCUAUAAAUAGAGAAAGAAGAAAAGGAAAAGAAGAAGAGAGAAAGAGAUAGGAAACGGAAAGAAGAAAAGGAAAAGAAGAAGAGAGAAAGAGAUAGGAAACGGAAAGAAGAAAAGGAAAGGAGGAAAGAGAGAGAAGAGGAAAGAAGAGGGUAAGUAAGCAGAGAGAAAAUUCAGUGAGUCACACAUUGUAAACACUAUUGUAGUCAUAUUAUUAUAUAGUGAAAAGUUACUGUUGCUGCUCUCCGAGGACGUAGGCGUAGCCGAACCUCGUUAAAUACUGUGUCUCAUCUACUUUACGUGCAGCUCAAAAUUCGCACAUAUCCCAGGUUAUUUUAUAACAAUUUGCAGGAUAUUUGAUAUUUACUCUCUCUCUCUCUUUUUGUGUGCUUUCUUCAAUCUUUGCUUUCG
rnacentral:lncRNA from 1 species